rnacentral:rRNA from 1 species
CUGAUGGAGCAACGCCGCGUGAGCGAUGAAGGCCUUCGGGUCGUAAAGCUCUGUUGUCAGGGAAGAACAAGUGCCGGAGUAACUGCCGGCGCCUUGACGGUACCUGACCAGAAAGCCCCGGCUAACUACGUGCCAGCAGCCGCGGUAAU